rnacentral:lncRNA from 1 species
AAUGACGUUAUGAGAAACCAUAAUGCAAUGCCGCAAGAGAUAAAAAGUAGAGGUGCGCAAGCGAGUAAAAGAAGAGGAGAAGCAGAGAAAAAGGAGAAGAGAUGAAGACGCGAUCAGAAACUGAAUGGCGAUAAGAGUCUGCGGUCUAUUUAAAAUGAAAUGGGGCAUCGGUUGAUCCAGAAACCGACGUCUAUAGACGUCGGUGUUUCAGGGGAUUCGACGUCUAUUCUACGUCAAAGAAGCUGAAAAGAUUGACGUUUGAUUUCCUGUCAGGGUAGUUCACGUC